GGCGGCAGGCUUAACACAUGCAAGUCGAACGAACGUAGCAAUACGUUAGUGGCGCACGGGUGAGUAACGCGUGGAUAUCUGCCUUUUGGUUCGGGAUAACCUUGGGAAACCAGGGCUAAUACCGAAUGGUUCCUACGGGAUAAAGAUUUAUCGCCAAAAGAUGAGUCCGCGUCCGAUUAGCUAGUUGGUGGGGUAAUGGCCCACCAAGGCGACGAUCGGUAGCUGGUCUGAGAGGACGAUCAGCCACACUGGGACUGAGACACGGCCCAGACUCCUACGGGAGGCAGCAGUGGGGAAUAUUGGACAAUGGGGGCAACCCUGAUCCAGCCAUGCCGCGUGAGUGAUGAAGGCCUUCGGGUUGUAAAGCUCUUUUGGCGGGGACGAUGAUGACGGUACCCGCAGAAUAAGCCCCGGCUAACUUCGUGCCAGCAGCCGCGGUAAGACGAAGGGGGCUAGCGUUGUUCGGAAUUACUGGGCGUNAAGCGUGUGUAGGUGGUUGCCACAGUCAGGUGU
rnacentral:rRNA from 1 species